AACCAGGAACUGCAUGUUGUCUCCAGAACCGUAAGGAUGAAUAUAUAUGCGGAUACCUCUUAUUGGGAUACACCAGUUCCAUGUAAUUCUGGUUCCUCUCCCAAGAC